rnacentral:rRNA from 1 species
CCUCCGUCUUCUUCAUUUCUUCAUAUUGUUCACUGUCCUCCCUUCUGCACCAGCCAUGCCGCGUGCAGGAAGACGGCUCUAUGAGUUGUAAACUGCUUUUGUACGAGGGUAAACGCAGAUACGCGUAUCUGUCUGAAAGUAUCGUACGAAUAAGGAUCGGCUAACUCCGUGCCAGCAGCCGCGGUAAUACGGAGGAUUCAAGCGUUAUCCGGAUUUAUUGGGUUUAAAGGGUGCGUAGGCGGUCGGAUAAGUUAGAGGUGAAAUCCCGAGGCUCAACUUCGGAAUUGCCUCUGAUACUGUUCGGCUAGAGAGUAGUUGCGGUAGGCGGAAUGUAUGGUGUAGCGGUGAAAUGCUUAGAGAUCAUACAGAACACCGAUUGCGAAGGCAGCUUACCAAGCUACUUCUGACGUUGAGGCACGAAAGCGUGGGGAGCAAACAGGAUUAGAUACCCCUGUAGUC